UGGGACACACUUUUGGUUUUA
rnacentral:piRNA from 1 species